ACCUGCCCAUCAGCGGGGGAUAACACUUGGAAACAGGUGCUAAUACCGCAUAAUACUUUUUCUCUCAUGAGUGAAAGUUGAAAGGCGCUUUUGCGUCACUGAUGGAUGGACCCGCGGUGCAUUAGCUAGUUGGUAGGGUAACGGCCUACCAAGGCAACGAUGCAUAGCCGACCUGAGAGGGUGAUCGGCCACACUGGGACUGAGACACGGCCCAGACUCCUACGGGAGGCAGCAGUAGGGAAUCUUCGGCAAUGGACGAAAGUCUGACCGAGCAACGCCGCGUGAGU
rnacentral:rRNA from 1 species